rnacentral:lncRNA from 1 species
UCUAAAAAAAAUGCUCCCCCAACCAAUUUGUUAACUACAUUUGUAUACAACAGUUUGUAAAAACCGACUUUAAACACAUCAACAUCCUCAUCGAGCUUUCCUAUGGGACUUGAACCGAGAAGGGGGAGACGCUUCCCUGCACGAGCAAGAUGUCGGGCCCACGAUAGAAGAUUAGCGCGUUGAAAUUCGGACAUGGGUGAUCCGGUCACUUGAAGCGGCCGCCUUCCAGCGAUGAGAACUAAUAGUAGAACGCCGAAGCUGUAAACGUCACAUUU